rnacentral:rRNA from 1 species
AUUGAACGCUGGCGGCAGGCCUAACACAUGCAAGUCGAACGGUAACAGGGAUCAGCUUGCUGAUUCGCUGACGAGUGGCGGACGGGUGAGUAAUGUCUGGGAAACUGCCUGAUGGAGGGGGAUAACUACUGGAAACGGUAGCUAAUACCGCAUAACGUCGCAAGACCAAAGAGGGGGACCUUCGGGCCUCUUUCCAUCGGAUGUGCCCAGAUGGGAUUAGCUAGUAGGUGGGGUAACGGCUCACCUAGGCGACGAUCCCUAGCUGGUCUGAGAGGAUGACCAGCAACACUGGAACUGAGACACGGUCCAGACUCCUACGGGAGGCAGCAGUGGGGAAUAUUGCACAAUGGGCGCAAGCCUGAUGCAGCCAUGCCGCGUGUAUGAAGAAGGCCUUCGGGUUGUAAAGUACUUUCAGCGGGGAGGAAGGGAGUAAAGUUAAUACCUUUGCUCAUUGACGUUACCCGCAGAAGAAGCACCGGCUAACUCCGUG